AAUUGUUCGCAAUGGGCGCAAGCCUGACGACGCAACGCCGCGUGGAGGAUGAAGGGCUUCGGCUCGUAAACUCCUUUCGACCGAGAUGAAUACCCGCAGGGCUAACAUCCCUGCGGACUGACAGUAUCGAGGAAAGCAGCCCCGGCUAACUCCGUGCCAGCAGCCGCGGUAAUACGGGGGGGGCAAGCGUUGUUCGGAAUUACUGGGCGUAAAGGGUUCGUAGGUGGCUGGCUAAGCCAGACGUGAAAUCCCUCAGCUUAACUGGGGAACUGCGUCUGGGACUGGUCAGCUCGAGUGCAGGAGAGGAACGCGGAAUUCCAGGUGUAGCGGUGAAAUGCGUAGAUAUCUGGAGGAACACCGGUGGCGAAGGCGGCGUUCUGGACUGCAACUGACACUGAGGAACGAAAGCCAGGGGAGCAAA
rnacentral:rRNA from 1 species